rnacentral:rRNA from 1 species
AUUGAACGCUGGCGGCAGGCCUAACACAUGCAAGUCGAACGAGUGGCGGACGGGUGAGUAAUGUCUGGGAAACUGCCUGAUGGAGGGGGAUAACUACUGGAAACGGUCGCUAAUACCGCAUACCAUCGGAUGUGCCCAGAUGGGAUUAGCUAGUAGGUGGGGUAACGGCUCACCUAGGCGACGAUCCCUAGCUGGUCUGAGAGGAUGACUAGCCACACGGGAACUGCGGCACGGUCCAGACGCCUACGUGAGGCAGCAGUGGGGAAUAUUGCACAAUGGGCGCAAGCCUGAUGCAGCCAUGCCGCGUGUAUGAAGAAGUCCUUCGGGUGGUAAAGUACUUUCAGCGGGGAGGCGUUACCCGCAGAAGAAGCACCGGCUAACUCCGUGCCAGCAGCCGCGGUAAUAC